AAGGAAGUGAUCAAUUUAGUGUGAAGGAGCGAAGGACGGAGAAAUAAGCGAGAUGCAGAGAGGGGCAGGCCCUGUGAAAAGGAGAAGAUCUCCAUGCGAUGAUACUCUCUUGUCCCAGAUAAAAGAACUAAGAGAAGAUUCAGGAAGUCCAAGAUCACACAGCUAAGAAAUGUCAGAGCCAGGCUUGGAAGAAAGGCUUCAGGACAUUUUGAUCCAUCUUAUGGGUAUAAAUCUGAUAUGAUAUAGAAGGAUGAUGAGGAGGUUAAGCACACAGCGUUUAUCUUGGAUGUGGCUUCCAAAUUAUGUUGAUGCUUACCUUGAUAUUUACCUGACAUAGAUAUAGAUUUUAAAGCAUGGAAGAAUUAUUUGGCUUUUGUAUGCUUUUCGUGGAG